rnacentral:rRNA from 1 species
UGCAGUCGAGGGGCAGCAUUUACUUCGGUAAGAUGGCGACCGGCGCACGGGUGCGUAACACGUAUGCAACCUACCUUAUACAGAGGGAUAGCCCAGAGAAAUUUGGAUUAAUACCUCAUAGUAUUAUUGAAUCGCAUGAUUUAGUAAUUAAAACUCCGGUGGUAUAAGAUGGGCAUGCGUCCCAUUAGUUAGUUGGUAAGGUAACGGCUUACCAAGACUUCGAUGGGUAGGGGUUCUGAGAGGAUGAUCCCCCACACUGGUACUGAGACACGGACCAGACUCCUACGGGAGGCAGCAGUGAGGAAUAUUGGUCAAUGGGCGCAAGCCUGAACCAGCCAUGCCGCGUGCAGGAAGACGGCCCUAUGGGUUGUAAACUGCUUUUAUAUGGGGAUAAAGGUAUCUACGUGUAGAUGCUUGAAGGUACCAUAUGAAUAAGGACCGGCUAACUCCGUGCCAGCAGCCGCGGUAAUACGGAGGGUCCAAGCGUUAUCCGGAUUCAUUGGGUUUAAAGGGUGCGUAGGCGGCUAAAUAAGUCAGUAGUGAAAUCCAUAGGCUCAACCUAUGAAGUGCUAUUGAAACUGUAUAGCUAGAAUUCUGAUGGAGUGGGCGGAAUGUGUUGUGUAGCGGUGAAAUGCAUAGAUAUAACACAGAACACCNAUCGCGAAGGCAGCUCACUAAGCANAUAUUGACGCUGAUGCACGAAAGCGUGGGUAGCGAACAGGAUUAGAUACCCUGGUAGUCCACGCUGUAAACGAUGAUNACUGGUUGUCGGCGAUACACAGUCGGNGGCUGANCGAAAGUAUUAAGUUAUCCACCUGGGG